AGGAUUUCCAUUGUCUGUACUUCGGAGUGUAACUUGAUGACUGCGAGAUACUUCGAAAUUCAAUGAACAGAAAUAGCCACCAAAUUUGAAACAAUGUCUGUUACUAUAUGCAACCUAGAAUGAAACAAAUGCAGAAUUGAUCAAAGUAAAAGAAUGAGUCUGGCUAUUAUCCGGGUCAAUGGUAGACAAUAUCCCCACGAUUGUGUCGACGUCGGAGUUCUCAGAGAUAUAGUGAUUUGAUAACUGGAAUUAGAAA